GACGAACGCUGGCGGCGUGCUUAACACAUGCAAGUCGAACGAUGAAGCCGGAGCUUGCUCCGGUGGAUUAGUGGCGAACGGGUGAGUAACACGUGAGUAACCUGCCCUUGACUCUGGGAUAACUGCGGGAAACUGUAGCUAAUACCGGAUACGACCCUCGGCGGCAUCGCCAGGGGGUGGAAAGAAUUUCGGUCAAGGAUGGACUCGCGGCCUAUCAGCUAGUUGGUGAGGUAACGGCUCACCAAGGCGACGACGGGUAGCCGGCCUGAGAGGGUGCCGGGCCACACUGGGACGGAGACACGGCCCAGACCCCACGGGGCGGCAGCAGUGGGGAAUUUUGCACAAGGGGGGAAAGCUUAAUGACGAAACGCCGCGUGAGGGAUGACGGCCUUCGGGUUGUAAACCUCUUUAAGUAGGGAAGAAGCGAAAGUGACGGUACCUGCAGAAAAAGCACCGGCUAACUACGUGCCAGCCGCCGCGGUAA
rnacentral:rRNA from 1 species